AUUCCUACGGGAGGCAGCAGUGGGGAAUAUUGGACAAUGGGCCACAAGCCUGAUCCAGCAAUUCUGUGUGCACGAUGAAGGUCUUCGGAUUGUAAGGUGCUCUCAGUUGGGAAGAAGAAAGUGACGGUACCAACAGAAGAAGCGACGGCUAAAUACGUGCCAGCAGCCGCGGUAAUAAU
rnacentral:rRNA from 1 species